rnacentral:rRNA from 1 species
GCGAGUGAACAGGCAAGAGCUCAGAUUUGAAAGGCACUUUUGUGCCGUUGUAUUCUGAAGUUAGGGUCCUGAGAAACGAUGCUUAAGUCUUCUGGAAAGGAGCGCCAUGGAGGGUGAUAGCCCCGUCUAGCAUUGACCUCAUAUAGGAUCUUAACAUGGAGUCGAGUUGUUUGGGAAUGCAGCUCAAAUGGGUGGUAUGCUCCAUCUAAAGCUAAAUAUCUGCGAGAGACCGAUAGUAAACAAGUACUGUGAGGGAAAGAUGAAAAGAACUUUGAAAAGAGAGUGAAAAAGUACGUGAAAUUGUUGAAAUGGAAGGGUAGGCCGCUAACCAUGUAGAGCCGUGUUUGGGGGGAAGAUAAAUGCUGUAGAAUGUAGCUCCUCGGAGUAUUAUAGAUGCAGUUCAUAUUCCCACCCGAGCGCGAGGAUCUCAGGUUCUACUAAAUGGUGGUCUACCACCCGUCUUGA